rnacentral:rRNA from 1 species
AUUGAACGCUGGCGGCGGGCCUAACACAUGCAAGUCGAGCGGAUGACGGGAGCUUGCUCCUUGAUUCAGCGGCGGACGGGUGAGUAAUGCCUAGGAAUCUGCCUGGUAGUGGGGGACAACGUUUCGAAAGGAACGCUAAUACCGCAUACGUCCUACGGGAGAAAGCAGGGGACCUUCGGGCCUUGCGCUAUCAGAUGAGCCUAGGUCGGAUUAGCUAGUAGGUGAGGUAAUGGCUCACCUAGGCGACGAUCCGUAACUGGUCUGAGAGGAUGAUCGGUCAGACUGGAACUGAGACACGGUCCAGACUCCUACGGGAGGCAGCAGUGGGGAAUAUUGGACAAUGGGCGAAAGCCUGAUCCAGCCAUGCCGCGUGUGAAGAAGGUCUUCGGAUUGUAAAGCACUUUAAGUUGGGAGGAAGGGCAGUAAGCUAAUACCUUGCUGUUUUGACGUUACCGACAGAAUAAGCACCGGCUAACUCUGUGCCAGCCGCCGCAGUAAUAC